CAAUAGCGUAUAUUUAAGUUGUUGCAGUUAAAAAGCUCGUAGUUGGAUUUCGGUUAAGAGCGACCGGUCCGCCGUUUGGUGUGCACUGGUUGGUUUUAACUUCCUGUAGAGGACGUGCUCUGGGUUUAACGACCUGGACUCGGAGUCUACGUGGUUACUUUGAAAAAAUUAGAGUGUUCAAAGCGGGCUUACGCUUGAAUAUUUCAGCAUGGAAUAACACUAUAGGACUCCUGUCCUAUUUCGUUGGUCUCGGGACGGGAGUAAUGAUUAAGAGGAACAGUUGGGGGCAUUCGUAUUUCAUUGUCAGAGGUGAAAUUCUUGGAUUUAUGAAAGACGAACUUCUGCGAAAGCAUUCGCCAAGGAUGUUUUCAUUA
rnacentral:rRNA from 1 species